ensembl:lncRNA
CUUCUGUUUUUGUGUAUAUCUCAUACUAAAUAGUUUUAGAUCUUCAAAUGAAAUACAACGUAAAACAAAGGCAUUUUUAAUUUAUUUAUAAACAUUUUUAUAAAAAAGUAAUCCAAUACCCAUCACCUAUGUGAAAAACUAUUUGCCCCCUUAAACCUAAAAUCUGGUUGUGCCACCUUUAACAGCAAUAACUGAAACCAAAUGCUUCCGAUAACUGGAGAUCAGUUUUUCACUUACUUCUAGGACUAGGACUUACUCCUAUGCUUUGGAUCAUUGUCUUGCUGCAUAAUCCAGUUGAGCCUGAGUUUCAAUUUACGGACUGAACACCGGACAUUCUCCUUUAGGAUUUUCUGGUAGAGAGCAGAAUUCAUGUUUCCCUCAAUUACUGUAAGUUGCCCAGGCCCGGAAGCAGCAAAGCAUCCCAACCACCAUGCUUGACCAUAGAUACGAUGUUCUUUUUGUUGAAUUGGUUUAUGCCAGAUGUAAUGAGACCCCUGUUUUCCAAACAGUUCCACUUUCGACUCAUCAAUCCACAGAACAGUCUCACAAAAUGUUCAUCAAGGUGUGUUUUGGCAAAAUUCAGAUGAGCCUUAAUGUUCUUCUGGGUUAGCAGUGGUUUUCACCUCGCCAAUCUUCCAUGGAUGCCAUUUUGCCCAGUGUAUUUCUGAUAGUGGAGUCAUGAACAGUGACCUUUAUUGAUGCAAGAGAGGCCUGUAGGUCCUUUGAUGUUGUCCUUGGCUCUUUUGUGAUUGUAUUCUUGGAGGGCUUUGGAACGACAGCCACUUCUGUGAAGGUUCACUACUGUAAGUUUUUUUUCCCAUUUGGAGUUAAUGACUCUCACUGUGGUCCUGUGGAGUCCCAGAGCCUUUGAAAUAUCUUUGCAACCCUUCCAAGACUGAUGUAUUUCAAUCAACUUCUUCCUCAUAAUUUCUGGAAUUUCUUUCAAUUUUGCCAUAGUAUAUUACUGGGUAAGACCUUUUAAUCAACUUCAUGCUGUUCAAAAAGUUCUAUUUAAGUGUUGAUUUGAUUGAACAGUGUUUUCAGUAAUGAAGCCUGGUUGCGUCUAGUCCAGCUGAACCCCAUUAUGAAUGCAGUUUCAUAGAUUUGGGGAAUUAGUAACUACGGGGGCAAAUACAUUUUGACGCCGGCCCAGGCUGCCAUGAUGGAUACGGACUCUAUAGGAACCUUUAUUAAAACUGGCUAAAAAGAGCAAAUGAAUUAAUUAAACAGAAACUUUUUGAGUGUUAGUAAGAAUAAAAAUGAGCUCAGCGUCAAGCUGUACUGUCGCUGGCUGCCUCACCAACAGCAACAAACUUUUGAGUUUUGUGAUAAUUUGCAAAUUGCUGUGGUAUAAGAGGAAAACACUUUUUCAUGGCUUUUUUCCCCUACAACAGGACAGACACCCCAUAAUGUUUUACUCAUUUAUCUAUAUUCCAAAUGAUACACACAAAUCUAAUGGGUAUAGUAAACAUAUAUUUGGAGUAUAGCAUGAAGCAUGCCCUUACCUCCUCUAUAUAGAUAAUGAUUUUGUCAUUGCUUAGUUCAGUGACAGAUAGCAUCCUAACCACUGCUUGAGCAAAUGCUGUAGAGUCUGGAGAAAUCAAAACAGAUAAACAGAAUAGUUAUUUUUAAUAAUAAGACAAAUCACACAACUAAAAACAAUCUUUUUUGGUUUGAAAUGUAAACAAUAUCAAGGGUUAAUAUAAGAAAAACAGUACUUGUUGAUGGUGGAGCUGUUGGUGGUUGAAUUGUUCGUGGAGAGGUGGUUUUGUUGGUGGUUGUUGGAGGGGUUAUAGUUGUUUCUGGAACUGUGCUUUUGCUGGUUGUUGUUGAAGGAGUUGUAAGUGUUUUUAGAAAGGUGGUUAUGUUUGUUGGAGUAGUUGUGGUGGUAGUUAUAUUUAGAGAAGUUGUUGUAGAGGUGGUUGCUAGAGAUAUGGUUGUGCCGGUUGCUUCUAUAGUUUUUAGACUGGCAUUUAUUAGGUUUAUGGGUGUUGUUAGACUAGUCGUUGUGGUGGUGGUUGCUAUAUUUGGUGGAGUUAUGGGUGUUGUUCGAGAGGUAGCUGUUGUUGGAGAGAUGGUUGUGAUAUAUGUAGGUGUUGUCAGUCCAGCGGUUGUGAUGAUAGUUGUUGUAUUUGGAUUACUUGUUGGUGUUGUUGCAGAAGUGGUUGUUGCAGAAAUGAUUGUGCUGAUUGUUGUAUAAGGAGUUGUUGUUUUUGGAGAGGUGGUUAUGAUGUUUAUUGGCAUUGUUGGACUAGUGGUUGUGGGAGACAUUACUGUACCUGGAGGAGUUAUUGGUGUUGUAGAAAUGGUUGCUGGAGAAACAGUUGUACUGGUUGUUAUUGAAGGACUUGUUUUUGGAGAGGUGGAUAUGAUGUGUAUGGGCAUUAUUGGAUUAGUGUAUGUGAUGGUGGUUGUUCUUUUUAUUCUUGUGGGAAUUGUGGGUGUUGUUGCAGAGAAGGUUAGAGAAAUGGUUUUGCUGGUUGUUGUUGGAGUUGCCAUUGCUGGACUAGUGGUUGUGGUGGUUUCUGUGUUCGGAGGAGUUAUGGGUGUUGUUGGAGAGAUGUUUGUGAUAGUCAUAGUUUUUGGACCAGUGGUUGUGAUGGUGGCUGUGGUAUUUGGAUUUGUUGUUGGUGUUGUUGGAAAGGUGGUUGUAGAAGAAAUGGAUGUGCUAGUUGUUGCUGUAGAAGAGGUUGAAGUUGUUUUUGGAGAUGCAGUUAUUAGGUUUAGGGGCAUUGUUGGACUAGUGGUUGUGGUGGGGUUUGCUGUAUUUGUAAGAGUUGUGGGUGUUGUUGGAGAGGUAGCUGUUGUUGGAGAGAUGGAUGUGAUAGUUGUAGUUGUUCUCAGACCAUUGAUUAUGGUGGCCAUUAUUGUUGGAGAUGUGGCUGUUGUUGCUGGAGCUACAGAUGUUGAGUGUGGAGCUGUAGAUGCUACAAAAACAGAAGGUGUUGUGGUGGUACUUGAGGGAAAUGUGGUUGUGUUUUUUUUUUUAGUGGUAGUUGCUGGAACUGUGGAGGUUAGUGUGUUAUUUGUUUUGGUUAUUGGUAUUGUAAGUGCUGUUGUGAUUGGAUGGGUGGUUAUUGUGGUUGAUUUGGUAUUUUUACUAGUUGUUGUUCUUGGAGGGGUGGUUGUUAGUGUAAUUACUGAUGGAAUAGAAGUUGUUGGUGAAAAAAUGGUUGUUGAAGAUGUGGUUGGAGUAAAUUGAGCUAUACUUGUUGAUAGAAAGGAGGGAGUUGAAGAUAUGGAUAUUACAGCUAUAGUUGGAGCUGGAGAUGGUGAAUCUGUAGCAGGUGAAAUUUUAACUGUUGAUUGUAGUAAUGCAAAUGUUGAGGGCAGAUCUGAUAAAGUUGGAGGUGAUAUUUCAGUGGUAGAUGGUGUUUGUGAAGCAGGUGAAAGUACAGAUGGAAAUAAUGGACUUGAAAAUGUUACACUUGAUUCUUGUGUUGCAUAUGAUGAAGAGAAAGCUCUCGGUGUUGACUGAUAGUCUACAGUGGUUUUCACUUUUAUUGCUGAAGAUGUCAAGGUCAAAUCUGUAGAAGAUUCUGGAACGAUAGAUGCUAUAACCGAUGGUGCUGAUAAAUUUCCGGGAGAUUUAGGUGUUGAUGACUGAUCUGUAGAAGAUUCUGGGGAAGUAUAAAGGGAUGCUGUAACUGAUGGUGUUGCUGAAGUUUCUAGAGAUUCCGUUGUUGGUGAGUGAUAUGUUGAUGAUUCCGGGGAAGUAUAUGGAGAUGCUGAAAUCACUUGUGUUGAUGUUUCUGAAGAUUCAGAUGUUGAGUGAUCUGUAGAUGAUUCUGGUGAAGUUGAUGGUGAUGCUGUAACUGCUUGAGUCGCUGAAGUUUCUGGAUAUUCAAGUGUUGAUAAGUGAUCUAUAGAUAAUUCAGAGAAAGUAAAUGGUGUUGCACCAACUCUUGUGCUGCCGACGUUUCUGGAGAUUUAGAUGUUGUUGACUGAUCUGUAGUGGAUUCUGGUGAUGUACAUGGUGCUGCUGUCCCUGCUUGUGUCGCUGAAGUUUCUGGAGAUUCAACUGUUGAUAAGUGAUCUGUAGAUAAUUCUGAAAAAGUAGAUGGCGACAUUGUAACUGAUGGUGUUGCUGAAGUUUCUGCAGAUUCAUUUGUUGAUGAGUGAUCUGUAGAUAAUUCUGAGAAAGUAGAUGGUGAUGCAGUAACUGUUUCUUCUGCUGAAGUUUCUGGAGACUCAGAUGUUGAGUGAUCUGUAGAUGAUUCACAGAAAGUAAAUGGUGUUACACCAACUCUUUUUUGUGCUGGGGUGCCGAAGUUUCUGGAGAUUUAGAUGUUGUUGACUGAUCUGUAGUGGAUUCUGGUGAAUGUACAUGGUGCUGCUGUCCCUGCUUGUGUUGCUGAUGUUUCUGGAGAUUCA